UACGGAGGGUGCAAGCAUUAAUCGGAUUUAUUGGGCGUAAAGGGCGCGUAGGCGGGAAGGAAAGUAGGAUGUGAAAUCCCGAGGCUCAACCUCGGACCCGCAUCCUAAACUCCCUUUCUAGAGGAUGAGCGGAGAAAAUGGAAUUCCACAUGUAGCGGUGAAAUGCGUAGAUAUGUGGAGGAACACCGGUGGCGAAAGCGAUUUUCUAGCUUAGACCUGACGCUGAGGCGCGAAAGUAAGGGGAUCAAACAGG
rnacentral:rRNA from 1 species